GACGUAGGGCGCGAGCGUUGUCCGGAUUUAUUGGGCGUAAAGAGCUCGUAGGCGGCUUGUCGCGUCGACUGUGAAAUCCCGCGGCUCAACUGCGGGUCUGCAGUCGAUACGGGCAGGCUAGAGUUCGGUAGGGGAGACUGGAAUUCCUGGUGUAGCGGUGAAAUGCGCAGAUAUCAGGAGGAACACCGGGUGGCGAAAGGCGG
rnacentral:rRNA from 1 species